GAUGAACGCUAGCUACAGGCUUAACACAUGCAAGUCGAGGGGCAGCAUGGUCUUAGCUUGCUAAGGCCGAUGGCGACCGGCGCACGGGUGAGUAACGCGUAUCCAACCUGCCUUACACUCUUGGACAGCCUUCUGAAAGGGAGAUUAAUACAAGAUGUUAUCAUGAGUAAGCAUUUUCGCAUGAUUAAAGGUUUACCGGUGUAAGAUGGGGAUGCGUUCCAUUAGAUAGUAGGCGGGGUAACGGCCCACCUAGUCUUCGAUGGAUAGGGGUUCUGAGAGGAAGGUCCCCCACAUUGGAACUGAGACACGGUCCAAACUCCUACGGGAGGCAGCAGUGAGGAAUAUUGGUCAAUGGACGAGAGUCUGAACCAGCCAAGUAGCGUGAAGGAUGAAGGUUCUAUGGAUUGUAAACUUCUUUUAUACGGGAAUAAACGGAUCCACGUGUGGAUUUUUGCAUGUACCGUAUGAAUAAGGAUCGGCUAACUCCGUGCCAGCAGCCGCGGUAAUACGGAGGAUCCGAGCGUUAUCCGGAUUUAUUGGGUUUAAAGGGAGCGUAGAUGGGUUGUUAAGUCAGUUGUGAAAGUUUGCGGCUCAACCGUAAAAUUGCAAUUGAUACUGGCAGUCUUGAGUACAGUUGAGGUAGGCGGAAUUCGUGGUGUAGCGGUGAAAUGCUUAGAUAUCACGAAGAACUCCGAUUGCGAAGGCAGCUUACUAACCUGUAACUGACAUUGAUGCUCGAAAGUGUGGGUAUCAAACAGGAUUAGAUACCCUGGUAGUCCACACGGUAAACGAUGAAUACUCGCUGUAGGCGAUAUACAGUCUGCGGCCAAGCGAAAGCAUUAAGUAUUCCACCUGGGGAGUACGCCGGCAACGGUGAAACUCAAAGGAAUUGACGGGGGCCCGCACAAGCGGAGGAACAUGUGGUUUAAUUCGAUGAUACGCGAGGAACCUUACCCGGGCUUAAAUUGCAACCGAAUAUGGCGGAAACGCUAUAGCUAGCAAUAGCGGUUGUGAAGGUGCUGCAUGGUUGUCGUCAGCUCGUGCCGUGAGGUGUCGGCUUAAGUGCCAUAACGAGCGCAACCCUUGCCGAUAGUUACUAACAGGUCAUGCUGAGGACUCUGUCGGGACUGCCAUCGUAAGAUGUGAGGAAGGUGGGGAUGACGUCAAAUCAGCACGGCCCUUACGUCCGGGGCUACACACGUGUUACAAUGGGGGGUACAGAGGGCUGCUACCACGCAAGUGGAUGCCAAUCCCAAAAACCUCUCUCAGUUCGGAUUGAAGUCUGCAACCCGACUUCAUGAAGCUGGAUUCGCUAGUAAUCGCGCAUCAGCCACGGCGCGGUGAAUACGUUCCCGGGCCUUGUACACACCGCCCGUCAAGCCAUGGGAGCCGGGGGUACCUGAAGUGCGUAACCGCAAGGAGCGCCCUAGGGUA
rnacentral:rRNA from 1 species